rnacentral:rRNA from 1 species
GUAGGUGGCAAGCGUUGUCCGGAAUUAUUGGGCGUAAAGCGCGCGCAGGCGGUCCUUUAAGUCUGAUGUGAAAGCCCACGGCUCAACCGUGGAGGGUCAUUGGAAACUGGGGGACUUGAGUACAGAAGAGGAAAGCGGAAUUCCAAGUGUAGCGGUGAAAUGCGUAGAGAUUUGGAGGAACACCAGUGGCGAAGGCGGCUUUCUGGUCUGUAACUGACGCUGAGGCGCGAAAGCGUGGGGAGCAAACAGGAUUAGAUACCCUGGUAGUCCACGCCGUAAACGAUGAGUGCUAAGUGUUAGGGGGUUUCCGCCCCCUUAGUGCUGCAGCUAACGCUAUUAAGCACUCCGCCGUGGGGAGUACGGCCGCAAGGCUAG